GCAUUCACUUCGUAAUUAGUUUUUAGCUUAGCGGUUUCUGCUCUGUAUAUAAAGGAUUACCUGAAGAAUGAACAUGGGUUGAUAACAUCCGAAGCGGGCGCGCAGCGGCGCUGUGUUUUGAGCAGGAAGACGAAGAGGAAAAACCCCCAGCCGGAAUCCACGGCGCAGUGAGGAUUUCCAUGAUAACAAUGGCUGAUCGAUCAUUCUUAUUAGCAACAGACAAAGAGUAUCAGAGACUGAGAGAACGAUGAGAUCCUGGCUGUCUGAGAGGCAGAUACUCAGAGAGCCAAGCAGGGGAAUGGCAGCGCUGCACAGCUGCAGGGAGUCGAUCGCGGGACGCUCGCUCGUCCAGACCGGCUCACACCGACCCCUGAUGACAUCACAGCCCGCAGGCGUAACCAUGGAAACGGCAUGAUGUCAGGGCCAGACGUCCUUCUGUAAUCUGAUUGGUUGUCGGGCCCCGAGGCCACAGCAGACAGAACCGACCAAUCAGAGCUCAUCGAUUAGUGCUAACGAUGUUAGCGCUAGCAGGAAGGUCACUGGUUGCCAGCGGCAACGCUCACUGCCUGCUUCCUGUCCGAGUUUUACCUCCACAGAGCCACAGGUUCUGCUGCCUGGGCCAGAACCAGAACCAGAACCAGGUCUGCUUUAUUCCCAAUCUGCUUCAAAGAUCUUCUCUACAGACAGACCUCUUGGCCUUUAGCAG